GACGGAGGGGGCUAGCGUUGUUCGGAAUUACUGGGCGUAAAGAGUGCGUAGGUGGUUUAGUAAGUUGGAUGUGAAAGCCCGGGGCUUAACCUCGGAAUAGCUUUCAAAACUACUAAUCUAGAGUGUAGUAGGGGAUGAUGGAAUUCCUAGUGUAGAGGUGAAAUUCUUAGAUAUUAGGAGGAACACCGGUGGCGAAGGCGGUCAUCUGGGCUACAACUGACACUGAUGCACGAAAGCGUGGGGAGCAAACAGG
rnacentral:rRNA from 1 species